rnacentral:rRNA from 1 species
CGCGGCCUAUCAGCUUGUUGGUGGGGUAAUGGCCUACCAAGGCGACGACGGGUAGCCGGCCUGAGAGGGCGACCGGCCACACUGGGACUGAGACACGGCCCAGACUCCUACGGGAGGCAGCAGUGGGGAAUAUUGCACAAUGGGCGAAAGCCUGAUGCAGCGACGCCGCGUGAGGGAUGACGGCCUUCGGGUUGUAAACCUCUUUCAGCAGGGAAGAAGCGAAAGUGACGGUACCUGCAGAAGAAGCGCCGGCUAACUACGUGCCAGCAGCCGCGGUAAUACGUAGGGCGCAAGCGUUGUCCGGAAUUAUUGGGCGUAAAGAGCUCGUAGGCGGCUUGUCACGUCGGGUGUGAAAGCCCGGGGCUUAACCCCGGGUCUGCAUCCGAUACGGGCAGGCUAGAGUGUGGUAGGGGAGAUCGGAAUUCCUGGUGUAGCGGUGAAAUGCGCAGAUAUCAGGAGGAACACCGGUGGCGAAGGCGGAUCUCUGGGCCAUUACUGACGCUGAGGAGCGAAAGCGUGGGGAGCGAACAGGAUUAGAUACCCCGGUAGUCCACGCCGUAAACGUUGGGAACUAGGUGUUGGCGACAUUCCACGUCGUCGGUGCCGCAGCUAACGCAUUAAGUUCCCCGCCUGGGGAGUACGG